UAGCUUUCACAGGACUUAUAUUAUGAACAAUAAGAAAACGAAAAUCAUAACAUAAAUAAAACAACCAAACAAGUACAAAUAUAUAACGUCCACUACAAUCGAACAACCACUUGACCUCAAAAUUUGAAAAAAAAAAUCCCAACUUUUAACAUUCCAGUACAUAAAAUAAUCCUAUAACAUAUUAUAAAAUCAUAUCUAAAAAAUGACAUUACUUUCCUACAUUUUUGUUGGUGUUAAUAAUCAUUCAUCUAUGUUUCUACAAGGAAGAAACAACAACCAUACAACAAAUAUCAAUAGAAGCCAAUAAAAG
rnacentral:lncRNA from 1 species